UUCAAGUGACAAGUAGUUUUCAAGGAAGAAAUGUCUCAAAAAUGUACUGCAGAUUUCAAGGGGUAGAACAGUUGUCAUUGAUGUAGUUGAUGAUCUCUCGAGCACCAGAAUGGAUCCAUAAAUGUUGCAGACUUUCAGUUCUGACUGGUGGAAGCCACUUCACUCUAUCAGUGAUUCUUUCUUUCCAAAUGACAAUGUGUAAUGGGCCAGCCAUGUCUGAUUUCCUGCAGAUGACCAGUAUCCUCCCAUCCAGCCACAUAAACUUCAAGUGAUGUAUCCUAAUACUCUUCAAACUUCAAAGAUUGAUGGCAUUCAAAGAAUAGGUGGAAGGGCUACACAAUUUGGAUGAUCAGACAUGCCAUAUCUUUUCCAUGGCCAUUUCAAAAUGAAAAAAGUGUUCUUUAGUUCUCUUGUCGCUGAUUGUUGUUUGAUGCAUAUCAUUCUCAUGUUGUGGAGGACUGCGAAGCACACAUGCGGUCAGCUGGAGCACUGCAAAGUUGUAUCAUUUCCCUACUCUUGUCUUGAUAUGUUGAAACAAUUUGUUAAGGAGGUUCUCACAGAGUGUGAAGUCUUCCUGACCUGCAUCUGACCAACUGUUGACUUGGUGGCUCAUCCCAAGAGAACAAUUGCAUUGUCACUGUUCUCUUCGUGGACUGGUGAGAGCCUUCAAAUCAACCUAAUGAAACACCAACACCAUGUAAUAUUAUUAUAUCCUUAGCACAUGCUGCUGUCGCAGUUUCUACCUUUACAUGGUGUGUACGGCAGAAGUGAAGAGGGCCUCCCCAGAGCAGCCCGCGUGCUCCAGGUACCAUGCUCCAUGGUGCAGAGUGCACGCAAGUCAAAAAGGUUGCGGACACACCAACUCCACUGCUGCUUCAAAUGUGUUUCUGUUCCAAGACCUUUGAGACCACAGCCGAUGGCUCUUCUGGCUUCGUUUCUGUUUCUGCUACCCUAGUUUAAGAAUGAUUAACAUAGUACUACUUUCUCUGAUCUCCUUGUUUCUCACUGAACAUAAUCACCGGAAUACAUGAUGAUGAUGAUGAAGAAGAAGAAGAAGAAGAAUAAAAAAAAAUGCAACACCAAAAGGAUCCUAAGUUGUUAACACUUUGCAUCAUAGUCACUUGUACCAAAAGCUGUGAAGCAAGCAAAGAGUGUUUGUGGUUGGUAGUGCUUUGGACUUGUAGCUUUUAUCGGUAAGCUUACUGCCUUUAGAUGGCCUGCUCCUUGUUCUGGUCUCCAUGUCUCUGUCAUCUCUUCCUAGUCUUCUCGGUUGCCUUUCCCAUCAGCAAGUGCAAAUUGUGAGAGUCACAUGGUUGCUGGUGUUUAGUCUUUGUAUGUCUUCCUCGGGGUGGCUUUUCUCAAAAGGGUUGAUGCUAGGCAACCUUUCUUUGUCUGUGAAACUUGUUGACUGAGGAAAGCCGAAGCAUUCAUCAUCUUUAUGCAAAAGUACAUUUCCAUUA